rnacentral:tRNA from 1 species
AGCUGUAGUUUAUAAUAUAAUAGUAAGUUGCAAGCUUAAAGAUGAGAUUUUCUCCGGCUU